UACAGAGGUCCCAAGCGUUGUUCGGAUUCACUGGGCGUAAAGGGUGCGCAGGCGGCCAAGUGUGUUAGGCGUGAAAGCCCGAGGCUUAACCUCGGAAUUGCACCUAAAACUACUUGGCUAGAGUACUGGAGAGGGAAACGGAAUUCACGGUGUAGCAGUGAAAUGCGUAGAUAUCGUGAGGAACACCAGAGGCGAAGGCGGUUUCCUGGACAGUUACUGACGCUCAGGCACGAAAGCGUGGGGAGCAAACGGG
rnacentral:rRNA from 1 species